rnacentral:rRNA from 1 species
UACGGGGGGAGCAAGCGUUGUUCGGAUUUACUGGGCGUAAAGGGCGCGUAGGCGGCCUGUGCAAGUCAGUUGUGAAAUCUCCGAGCUUAACUCGGAAAGGUCAACUGAUACUGCUCGGCUAGAGUGCGGAAGGGGCAACUGGAAUUCUUGGUGUAGCGGUGAAAUGCGUAGAUAUCAAGAGGAACACCUGCGGCGAAGGCGGGUAGCUGGGCCGAUACUGACGCUGAGGAGCGAAAGCGUGGGGAGCGAACAGG